AGUCAGUGACUUUUCCUCCACCAGGUUUCCCAGUUUCCAUGGCGACAGCCUGUCCUGAAUGUCCAUCUUUGGGGUGAGGUUUGAGGCUUCCUUGUCUUUUGUCCUCCCCACAAUCAGAUCCCAUUACUGUUUUCAGGUCAUCCCUUGUCUGACCUUCCCCCUAUUCCCCAUCCCCCUAUGCUGAUGGCGGCUGGCCUCCAGCAGUCCUGGGGUCUGGUCCCCUCCAUCCACCACCCUCAGCCUUGGCCAUCUCUACCUUGUCCACCAGAACAGCUUCCUCUUCCUCCCUGAGAAUUCCACCAACCCUUCCUCAGACCCAUCAGAGGCUGGCUCCCUUUCAUCCGAUCAACCAAGGACACACAGGGGUGCCUCCAGACCUCCCUCGCAUCCCUUCCCCACACCAAAAGCCCCUGGUCAGCGUGUGCAAGGACGCCCUCACCCUCUCCUGCGCAUUCUCUCUCCAUCAAGGAACCCUGGCUGGCUCAGCUGUGGGCUCGGGGUCUUUCAUUUGUUUGAAGCCGAAUGCUGAGUCCCUCACCUUCAGAACACGUGAGUGCUACGGACCACUCAUCAUUUCACGCAUGUGCACACACAUCGCCUCUCACACACGCACGCUUUCGCAUACAUGGAGAAAGGCGAGUACUUUCCAGUCAGCAGGGCAGCAGUGGCUCCAUCCUGUCAAGCUACUUUUCCAUAUUUGAUUUCCUUUCACUCCCAGAAAAACCGUGGAAUUCAUGCAUUUUUUUUUCUUCCAGUUUUACAGAUGAGAAAACCAAAGUGUUGAGAGGUAAAUGAAGUACCCCAAACCGGUCAGUGCCAGAAUCUCGAUAACACACAGGCUCCUGUGCGAACCCACACACAGAGUGCAUGUUUCACAGGGAAUAGCUCCGUUCUUAGCUACAGACUCAGGCAGGCUUGGAGUCACUCCUCUCUACAGCCUGAGCUCCUUGGGUCUCCGCCAGAGCCUCCAAGCCUCCCCCCAAUAAUAAUAUUAAUAAUAGUUAUUAUUCUUUGAAUAGUAAUUCACUAAUAGUAUCAGUCUUUGAAAAAGAUAACGGCUUUUCUUCUCUAUUUUCCACAGAAUGUGCUCACAUGUGUUGUGUGAGCACUGCCGUCUCUGUGCUUCUACCACACACUGUCUAAGAGGCUGGGGGUGUCUGCUCCAGCAACUCCAGAUGCCCCUUCCAGGGGCAUCUCCUCCCCUCACUCAGCGCUGCCCCAAGACCCUUCCUACCCAAAGUUCUGUGGCCACAGCUGUGCAGACUUUAUCCUACACUCUGACCCACUCACAAAGCACUGU
rnacentral:lncRNA from 1 species